GUGUGCUCCUCCAGGACUAGGAGCUGACUGGGAGUGGGGCCACUGACCUAUAUACAUCAUAGCUCCAUGGGUGCAGUUGAGGGAUAGAUAGCCAUGCCUUUGCGGGGAGAGAAAAAACAAUGCUCCCAGUGAAGACACCCAGUUAAUCACAACUCACAAACAGCAACAAUCACCGAAAAUGCUUGCAGAGUCUAACACUGUGAAAGGCUUUGUAUGCAUUGCCACAUCUGGCCCCCAUGGCUGUGAAAGGUGGGUACAAUCACACUUUGGAAAUGCUCCUUAGGGAUCUGUCUUACAUUUGAGUAAUUUGUACAAAGCAGUUCAACUAAGUCAGUAGUAGAACUGGGGCUUGAACUGGGGUUCACCCUUCAACUACUGCACCAGUAGUGCUCAGUCGGAUGACCCUGUGGGGAAGGUUGGUAGCCAUGCUGACUUCCAAGCUCCCCCUGUAGAGAUUCAGAUGAGGUAGACCUGAACCGGGCACAGGAUCCAGUGUUGGUAACACACUCCCUAUCAUUGCAAUGCAGAGGCUCCUGGACCCUACCCUGAGAAGCGUUGCAUGAAGCCACGUUGCCUGAUCGCCCUACAUCUGCGGGCUCAUCCUGAGGACCUUGAACUGCAGAACAAAACAGAACGAAGCCUUGGACAAAUAGAGUUUCUGUUCUUAAGAUGUGGGAUUAGAAAAAGGAAGACCCAGUUCUGCUCAACAGACAUCAGAUGAAGACAGAGAUGAAACAUUGAAAUCGCCAUGGGAGAAUCCUGUCUACAUCUAUACAGCAGGUACAACUUGACUUAAUUUAAGUCUUUUAUGUCAUCUCAAACCCUGCAUGUCUAGGAUUCUGUGUUCCUCUACUCCUGGUCCUUUUCUGUGACUGAACAACAGCCAUACAGAGUUUUAAGCCAGAAAUUUGGGCAUCUCUUUGCUUCAUGCAUCGCCCUGAUUUCAGUCAAAUCUGUUGACUUCAUCAUCUCUCUGAUCCAUGCACUUUCUCCCCUGCGUUUCGCACUGCCACGCCCAAGCCAGGCUGC
rnacentral:lncRNA from 1 species